AGUGAACGCUGGCGGCAGGCCUAACACAUGCAAGUCGAGCGGCAGCGGGUCCCCGCGAGGGGAUGCCGGCGAGCGGCGGACGGGUGAGGAACACAUCGGAAUCUGCCUGGUUGUGGGGGAUAACGUAGGGAAACUUACGCUAAUACCGCAUGAGACCCUGAGUCGACGGACUGGGGGUGAAAGUGAGGGACCUUCGGGCCUCACGCGACCAGAUGAGCCGAUGUCGAAUUAGCUAGUUGGCGGGGUAAUGGCCUACCAAGGCGACGAUCGGUAGCUGGUCUGAGAGGACGACCAGCCACACUGGGACUGAGACACGGCCCAGACUCCUACGGGAGGCAGCAGUGGGGAAUAUUGGACAAUGGGCGCAAGCCUGAUCCGAGCGAUGCCGCGUGNGUGAAGAGGCCUGCGGGUUGUAAAGCACUUUCAGUAGGGAAG
rnacentral:rRNA from 1 species